ACUUUGGCUCAAAGUGGAGUGACGUUUUUGCCCUCUCUUCAAAUUUUUUUGCAGCUCUGCCACCGACCUGGAUAUAUCGCAUCUUCCUGUUGUUUUCCUCUUUCUUCUGCAGUCCUGUAACCAUCUUUAUCAAUUGUCAAUGGCGAGCCUGUAUGUGAAAGCUGUGCCUCCUGCUGAUAUGAAUAGGAACACAGAGUGGUUCAUGUACCCUGGGGUUUGGACCACCUAUAUUCUCAGAGGAAUCUGGGUUUUGAUUACAAUCCCAAAUCACCCUUUUUUUGUUUUUGAACCUUGAUUUUGUUGGAGGACAAAGGAAGAAGAAGAAGGAAAAGAAACGGAAUAGAGGGAGAGAAGACGAAAGGAGCAGAAGGAAAUAAGAAGACCCUCCUUUUCUUUGGGAAGGGCUUGCUGUUAUUGGAGGGAAAAUUAGGAGAGGAAAGGGAGGAAGAUGAUUUGGAGGGUGUUGGGAAUAAGUUUGGACGAAUUGGUUUUUGGUUUUCUGUCAGAGUUUCAGGCGAAUUUAGAAUUUUUGGCAAUGUGAUAUAAUGGUCUGGGUUUCAUAAUGCAUUGAGAAUGGAGCAAGAAUCAUAGCAGGAAAAGCUUGAUGAAAUUGGCAUUGAGCUCUCAGAUGUUUCUAUUCUUUGUGUGAAUAAUUGUGUGUUUUUCUUUUCUAUUACACAUAUUUUCAAAAAACGGUUGCAUGAUGUUUCUGUAUAGAUGGGUUCUUGAGUUUAGAUUGAUUAAGUGUGCCUUUUUUAAAAACAACAAGUGUGAUACAAAUAUUUGAACAAAUUUGCUUUAAGGUCUUAAGCCAUCAAUAAGAUUCAUCUCACGUCUUACCUUUACUUUGAGCUCAUCCUAGCUCUUGACCCUUGCAGACGACAAGAAGGAGAAGCAGAAGAGAAUUCAAGCAUCGUUAACAACACCACCGGUUUCAACUCUCAGCGCUGUAAAUAAACUCCAGGAGAGCAUCAAGAAAAAUUUCGAUAGCACCCUCGGGUUUGAAGAAAAGGAGAAGCUUGAAUCUGCCAAUCAAGGUACAUGAUUCUUAAUUGAUUUGAAUUUGCGGGUUUUGAUUUGGGGGUUUGUUUGUACGCAUAUUACUUUAUCUGUCCUGGCUUUUCUCCAAGAAAGGUAAAUUAUAAAGUUGUGUGUGUAUAUCUGUGUGUGUGUGUGUUUUUUCCCCCCUCCCCCCAAAGGUACUAGGUUGGAUUGGUUGCACUUUAGCCUUUUGAACUUACCUUAUUAAUUGUUAUUUACAUGUGUGAACUGAUUUCAUGUUCUAAACAGUGUGCUGGAUACGUAUUCCAUACGACAAUAUUUGAGAUUUGGAUUUGUAUAUAUUUGGUGGUGUUUAAUGAAAGUGAUCAAUAUUUGUUUUUUUGUCAGAAUUUUACGUAAAGUUAGAAUGUUAGGGAAUUAGUUUGGAUUUGAUAAUGGAAUUGUUUAGAUGCUAUUUAUUGAAUGUUUGAGUUCAAUAAUGGAGUUUAGGACCAGAUUUUUUAAACUCCUAGAGGCAACAGGUUUACAAGUUUAAGGAUUCUGUUCCAAGGUCAGCAUUCUCUAUAUAUACUGAGCAGAAGAUUGUCUCAGGGCUUUAGUUUGUGCUUUUUCAUUCAUAUUGAUAUAAAUAUUUAAUAUUUUUGCAAAAAGUUAUAAACUUAUGUUUAGUUUUAAAUUUUGAAAUCAGUUUGUAUGAUAUUUUUCCUGUUUGAAAAUCAUUAUUUCAGUGAAUAUUAAAUGAUACUAAGUUGUAAUCAUAAUCUAAUUGCUUUUGUCGUAAGAACCCUAUCUAUGACAGCUGAUUUACAUAGAGCAAUUAAAAUAGAAAAAAACCUGCAGCACAUGAAUCUGGUAAUCAUUCAAUAUUUACAAGUCUGAGAAAUUCAUAUUGAUGUCUAAUAAACACGUAUCAACAAUAAAAAUACCUGCAGCAAAGCGCGGGUUUUGCUAAAUUUCCUCUCGGUGCUGCAAGAAAGAGGUACAAACCAAGACCCAUAAGGGCUGAAAGAGGCAAUGAGUUGCAUAAUGGGAAGUUGAUUGUGUAGAAUUGGGGAUUUCGGAGUUGGCCUGAUGGGAUUCAGUCAAUGGCUAUCCCACUAAGAUGUGACAAACCAGGGCACAUUUUGCUUUCUGGCUACGAUUUCUGGUAACAACCGCAGCACAAGACAAUGAUAAGCACAUCAUGGGGUGCCCCUGCUGCUUUCACCAAAGGUUUCAACCUUCAGCAUGUCUCUGAUGGUCUCUAUGGGAGGCAUCUUCAUGUCUACAGUUGGCCUGAGGGUGAAUUGAAACAAACUUUGGACCGUGACAAUGCAGGGCUCUUACCCUUGGAGAAUCCAGAGAGGGAUCAAUAUCACCCCUAAUCGCGUGUUCACAUCUGUUGAGAAGAGAGCGAGAGAACGAAGAGAGCCGAGUGAUCUGGGUAGAAGAAGAAGAAGAAGAAGGGAUUUCGAAUCACAAACAAAUCCUCUCCAUAACUCCUUCUUCCAUAAAUCUUUCUCCUCCACUGUUAUUCAAGUCGACAUGAGUGCAUCAUUGUCGAUUUCGAGCAAAUUCAUCAGAGAGAGAGGAAGAAGGGAGAAAAGAAGAGGAGGGGGACGGGAAGGUCUCAGGGAAAUCAUCAGCCCAGGCAGUCCAACCCGAAGUUGUUGGUUGCCGUCCAGCAGGUGUGGAGUUUUCUGCAGAGAUUCAUGACUUUGUAGUUGAGGAUAAAGCCAAGUUGUACCCUUCUGUUAAAGACGAUGUAUCCAUUACUAUAAUAGAAGCAAGCUCUCAUAUUUUGGACAUGCGAAAUCCUAAUAUUGAUGACUGGAUACUCGAGUGAUGCAACUAUGGCUGAGGAUGCCUUAUCUAUUUGCAUGACUAUAAUGAUUGGGAGCUCAUAUUUCCUUUAACCUUCUUUGCGGGGACAGGAAGCAGGAUAUAGGACUCUACAUAUUGGCUGAUUUCAUGCGAAGGAGUGUAGAUCUCACUCCUUUUGCUGUUGUUCCUUUUUUGGCUGCUUUGCACCAUCUCAAUCACUUAUUCGUAUUCAACUGCAGCUGGAACAAUUACCCCGUUUGUACAACUACAAUUGGAGCAGUCACUUUUUUGAACCUACUCCAGCAGCAAAUUUUACUAGACUAUCUUAACUACACUAACUAGCACUUUGGGUAUACUCCACCUGCUACUUUUUGUAAAGGAGCAACUAAUCUUUUUGUACAACUAGCAUUUUUGAACCAGCUUCAAUAGCAAAUAAAGUCUAAAUUGAAAUUUCGCUAUUUCAAUA